GGAUUUCACAACUGGGGGUGUGGGAGCAGUGACCAGUGUGGCAAGGUGGUUUCCAACCUCCUCCCCCACCUUUCCACAACCAUUGCAGGCUGACCAUGACAUGGGAACUUUCAGGGACUUUUUAAAGUCCCUAGAACAGCUUAGCCUGGCCCCUGUGCAGCCCAGCUGGAGCAGGCAGGAGCAGCUCUGGAGAUUCCCCUGUGCCCUGGACAGCAGGUAUUUUCUCCCCUGCCAUCAAGACUCGAUUCUUUUUUAUGGUAUCCCUUGCAGGAAGUGUAAUAUUUGAGUGACUAACAUAUUGCUGGAUCGUUGUCCAAAAGAGGAAGAAGGCAGCUGGCCGAAGCAAGACAGAUGAUGAAGCAUUUUGACAGUUUAGGGGCAGAUCCUCAUCUGGUCUGAACUGUAAAAGCUUCUCUGGUUUCAGUGCAGCUCUGGCAACAUAAAUCGGCAUCUUCCACAACUGAGUGAAUCUACCCUCUCACAGCCAUGGUUGUUUGUAAUCCAGCAGA